rnacentral:rRNA from 1 species
CCGGCUAACUUCGUGCCAGCAGCCGCGGUAAUACGAAGGGGGCUAGCGUUGCUCGGAAUCACUGGGCGUAAAGGGCGCGUAGGCGGCGUUUUAAGUCGGGGGUGAAAGCCUGUGGCUCAACCACAGAAUGGCCUUCGAUACUGGGACGCUUGAGUAUGGUAGAGGUUGGUGGAACUGCGAGUGUAGAGGUGAAAUUCGUAGAUAUUCGCAAGAACACCGGUGGCGAAGGCGGCCAACUGGACCAUUACUGACGCUGAGGCGCGAAAGCGUGGGGAGCAAACAGG